CGAUACGACCGUACCGCAAACCGACACUGGUGCGCGAGAUGAGUAUUCUAAGGCGCUUGAGAGAACUCAGGAGAAGGAACUCGGCAAAUUGACACCGUAACUUCGGAAGAAGGUGUGCCCUAUUAGUGUGUAGUGAACAACGAAGCAUGAAUGGGUUGCAAAAAAUCGGUGGCUGCGACUGUUUAUUAAAAACACAGCACUCUGCAAACACGAAAGUGGACGUAUAGGGUGUGACGCCUGCCCGGUGCUGGAAGAUUAAAUGAUGGGGUGCAAGCUCUUGAUUGAAGUCCCAGUAAACGGCGGCCGUAACGAUAACGGUCCUAAGGUAGCGAAAUUCCUUGUCGGGUAAGUUCCGACCUGCACGAAUGGCGUAACGAUGGCCACACUGUCUCCUCCUGAGACUCAGCGAAGUUGAAAUGUUUGUGAUGAUGCAAUCUCCCCGCGGAAAGACGGAAAGACCCCAUGAACCUUUACUGUAGCUUUGUAUUGGACUUUGAACAGAUCUGUGUAGGAUAGGUGGGAGGCUUUGAAGCAGGGUCGCUAGAUCUUGUGGAGCCAACGUUGAAAUACCACCCUGGUGUGUUUGAGGUUCUAACCUAGGUCCAUUAUCUGGAUCGGGGACAGUGCAUGGUAGGCAGUUUGACUGGGGCGGUCUCCUCCCAAAGCGUAACGGAGGAGUUCGAAGGUACGCUAGUUACGGUCGGACAUCGUGACGAUAGUGCAAUGGCAUAAGCGUGCUUAACUGCGAGACUGACAAGUCGAGCAGAUGCGAAAGCAGGACAUAGUGAUCCGGUGGUUCUGUAUGGAAGGGCCAUCGCUCAACGGAUAAAAGGUACUCUCUGGAUAACAGGCUGAUACCGCCCAAGAGUUCAUAUCGACGGCGGUGUUUGGCACCUCGAUGUCGGCUCAUCUCAUCCUGGGGCUGUAGCCGGUCCCAAGGGUAUGGCUGUUCGCCAUUUAAAGAGGUACGUGAGCUGGGUUUAAAACGUCGUGAGACAGUUUGGUCCCUAUCUUCCGUGGGCGCUGCAGAUUUGAGGAAGCCUGCUCCUAGUACGAGAGGACCGGAGUGGACACACCUCUGGUGUAUCGGUUGUCACGCCAGUGGCAUUGCCGAGUAGCUAAGUGUGGAAGAGAUAACCGCUGAAAGCAUCUAAGCGGGAAACUCGUUUCAAGAUGAGAUCUGCCGGGGCCUUGAGCCCCCUAAAGAGUCGUUCAAGACCAGGACGUUGAUAGGUCAGGUGUGGAAGCGAAAA
rnacentral:rRNA from 1 species